UGGGGAAUUUUCCGCAAUGGGCGAAAGCCCGACGGAGCAAUGCCGCGUGGAGGUGGAAGGCCUACGGGUCGUCAACUUCUUUUCUCGGAGAAGAAACAAUGACGGUAUCUGAGGAAUAAGCAUCGGCUAACUCUGUGCCCG
rnacentral:rRNA from 1 species